CCAUCCAACACGACCUUGAACUUUCUUGAACCAGAAAAUGGCGACCAGGAAGUGAUUUUGGGAAGUGAUCGUGAUGGUUUGCUGUUUUAUAAGCAAAAUGUGAAAUGUCAUGGGAUACCUUAUCAGCCCGUGGAUACAUAAGGUCUUGCUUGCUGGCCGCAGUUUCACCCAACAGCCACACAGAGGUAGAGAUGCAGUCGCAGUGUGGCGGGGACAGCCCAGUGCCAUCCAACCUGGACUUGGUGACCAGUGAGAAGUCUUCAGCACUCAUCCUGGUGACAGUCCUGGGUAUCUGGGGUGGAGAGGCACUUUCUGAUUCUUCAGAUUGAAAGAUGAAGAACACUGCCACAUCCAAGGGAGAUAAUCCACUUUCAACGCACCUGCCAAUCAAGCAACUUCAGUAACCUAUGCUGUCUAGUGAUGUCCAUGUCGAUUCUCACCUGUGCAACGCCUGGGUCACCUACUUUCCUCCAUCUUCCUGAGGCAAGGGAAUUAACUGACUAUUAAAGUCCUGUUUCCACCCUUACCGAACUACGCUGGAAUUUCAUGGCUCGAUCCUAGCGCCACCAGUGGCAGUUCCGUGUUAUGGCCCUUCUACGUCCCUCCAACUGACCGGUCAGUUUCCUCCCUUACCGAACUACGCUGGAAUUUCAUGGCUCGAUCCUAGCGCCACCAGUGGCAGUUCCGUGUUAUGGCCCUUCUACGUCCCUCCAACUGACCGGUCAGUUUCCACCCUUACCGAACUACGCUGGAAUUUCAUGGCUCAAUCCUAGCGCCACCAGUGGCAGUUCCGUGUUAUGGCCCUUCUACGUCCCUCCAACUGACCGGUCAGUUUCCACCCUUACCGAACUACACUGGAAUUUCAUGGCUCGAUCCUAGCGCCAUCAGUGGCAAUCACAGGUUAUGGCCCUUCUACGUCCCUCCAACUGACUGGUCAGU